GGAAUAUUGGUCAAUGGAUGCAAGUCUGAACCAGCCAUGCCGCGUGCAGGAAGAAGGCCCUAUGGGUUGUAAACUGCUUUUGUCAGGGGAUAAAAUGGGCUUGCGAGCCUAAUUGAAGGUACCUGGCGAAUAAGCCACGGCUAACUACGUGCCAGCAGCCGCGGUAAUACGUAGGUGGCAAGCGUUGUCCGGAUUUAUUGGGUUUAAAGGGUGCGUAGGCGGUCUUAUAAGUCAGUGCUGAAAUAUCCCGGCUUAACCGGGAGGGUGGCAUUGAUACUGUAGGACUUGAGUAAAGUUGAGGUUGGCGGAAUUGACGGUGUAGCGGUGAAAUGCUUAGAUAUCGUCAAGAACACCGAUAGCGAAGGCAGCUUACUAAGUUGUAACUGACGCUGAUGCACGAAAGUGUGGGGAUCAA
rnacentral:rRNA from 1 species